CUACGUGCCAGCAGCCGCGGUAAUACGUAGGGCGCGAGCGUUGUCCGGAAUUAUUGGGCGUAAAGAGCUUGUAGGCGGUUGGUCGCGUCUGCUGUGAAAGGCUGGGGCUUAACCCUGGUUUUGCAGUGGGUACGGGCUAACUAGAGUGCAGUAGGGGAGACUGGAAUUCCUGGUGUAGCGGUGGAAUGCGCAGAUAUCAGGAGGAACACCGAUGGCGAAGGCAGGUCUCUGGGCUGUAACUGACGCUGAGAAGCGAAAGCAUGGGGAGCGAACAGGAUUAGAUACCCUGGUAGUCCAUGCCGUAAACGUUGAGCACUAGGUGUGGGGGACAUUCCACGUUUUCCGCGCCGUAGCUAACGCAUUAAGUGCCCCGCCUGAGGAGUACGGCCGCAAGGCUAAAACUCAAAGAAAUUGACGGGGGCCCGCACAAGCGGCGGAGCAUGCGGAUUAAUUCGAUGCAACGCGAAGAACCUUACCAAGGCUUGACAU
rnacentral:rRNA from 1 species